UGUAUAUUUUCUUUCCUUUGUUGAAGAGUGGGCCCCCUGCCACGUAGGAUCAUCUUCAAGCUCCAGGACACGAACGGACGAGUCGCAUGCUGCGUUUUUCAGUUUCUUCGUGUUUACUCUCCAAUUGAUUCCGGGCGUUUUAAGCCACCAUUUAACGAGCCGUUUGUUCCUACUUAAGCUCCACGCCCUCCUCUUCAUUUUUUCCCCAAACGGCACAUCCUGAGAGCCCCCAGGCUGCUCGAAUUCGAGAUCGGAGCUCCACAGCACUGCCGCACUAGUUCGUCGAAUUCGAGCAACAUCUCCAUUUUCAUCUGUGAGUUUGUCCACCGGUAGGAUUUUUCCGACGAGUGUUUCCGGACGGAGAAGUGUGCCUAGAUGUCCCGUAGGCCUACUGCUACAGCAGUGAACUUCGGAAGCCCCUUCGUCAACAUUCUGAUCAACUACCUUACCAGCAGCGUCGUAUCGUCGACUGCGUGUGCCAAGAUCGAUUGUGGUUGUGUUGAUUGCAACAAGUGUUUCUGCGAAGAGUGUACCAACUCAUCUCACCAAAGG